GUUUUUUCAGAAUAUCUGUUAAAAUUAAUACAAUAAAAAGAAAAUUAACAUGACCCCUGCGUAAGGAUGACACAUACAAAUUAAAAAUAUAUAUAUAUAAU